ACAUCCACCACCUUUGCCAUUUCCAUGGCUUGGAAGCAAGUCACAGGUCCUAACUCACACUCAACGGGAGGGGGCCACACAAAGCAAUGACCAUCAGGGGAAGAGAUUAGGGGUGCCACCUUAGAGUUUGCCAUACGGUCUUCCUAAGAAAAGCAAGAUCUAGAAUUUCUAGUAAAAUUUUCUUUUGUUCAUCUAAGAAUCAAUUGAUUCUUAAUUCUAAGUUUGAAGUUUAACUGCAUUUUUAUGGGAUAUGAUUUGUCAUUCAAAUAAUAUUGACAAAAACAACUGGAUUUAAAGAUGAAAGUGUCUGGCAUGAGGAGUACGGGGACAGCAGGAAUGAAAAGGAAUAUUUAAGAAUGCAAACGCCAGUCAGACAGCACAGCUCUGAGCCUGGCAGUGCCCCUGCAGGGGCACUGGUUCACAUGCUGACUGUGAGCAAGGAAAAUCUCAUUUAAACCAAGUGGGAAAUUAUAGUUACCAAAUUGGCAAUUA
rnacentral:lncRNA from 1 species